CAUCGAUCUCAUUCUCCAUGUCCUCCGUGUGCUGGAUCUGCGGAGAGCACACCCUGAGCACCAGUCCCAGGCGCAGCCUCCCCCUGGUCUCCGGGGCCCUGCGGAACCCCCAGUGGCAGCCUCCUGGGGUUGGACCUGGAGCAAAGGAACCUGGCUCGGACUCCUUUCCACCUUGCGGCUCCAGCCCUGCCUGGCACAGACCCCCAAGCAGAAGCCCUUCGUGACAGCUCUGUUCUCCAAGUGCUUCUACUGUGUGCCGGCCAGAUAUGGACACAACUAUCAGAGCUUCAGCAGCCACACUGAUUACCAGACUGCAGGAAACCAAACCUCGGCUGGGGUGGGAUGGAACUCUGGCUGAUGGGCCUGCUUGUCUGUGGAGCUGCUCCCCGCUAAGCCAAUUCCUUGAUGACUGUCACACAAGCCCACUGACUGGGCAGAUCCCAAGCACAGAGCACUGUGUGGUGACUCCACAGCCCCUGGCUGACUGGGAGGAGGCUGUCUGAAGGGACACGCGCAUCUGUGCGGCAGAUAUGCGCAAACCCAGUGAAGCAGCCAAGCUUGGCCCUGGCCCCGAGCUCUGCUAUUGCAGGGAAUGGGACAAACAUGGCCAUCCUCAUGCACACACUCGCCAUCAGACGAACAAGUGUCGGGCCGUUCUUGAGCCAAAGCCACCUGAUAUGUCCCCUAGAGGUGUGCGCAGCAUUACACAAAACUGGGUCUUCUGCUUCUGCCUGUGGCAUGGGGAGAUGCACCUGACCCCACACUCACACACUGACAGAGCUCGCAGAUGAGGAAGGCUCCUAGUGUGGCCUCCUCAUGGUUGUCCUGGAUGUCCACAUUGACCACGUGCACUGGCUGGCAGGUCUCCUGUUCUCUGGAAUUCAGAUCUGAUUGGGACAAAGUGACAAAGAGGUUGGAAGCUCCAGAACCAGACAGCAAGGUGCCCUCAUGUGGCCCCACUAGCCCUGGCUGGGCUCCACUGCUGCCAGGCCGGCUCUGGGGUUUGGGAACAUGACUGAGGACUGUGCCUGUAGCCGGGCCAGGGAGUCCCUGAGGACCAUGCAUGACAAAAGCUGAACACACAGCAAGGCCACCCCUGAUACCAGCCCACCAUGGCCAAGACCCCCACGGAGGCAGUGGCAUUCAUGGUCCCCAUGGCACAUCAAGUGCCACACGGAACAGAGCCGGAGCCCAGAGGACUUGGCAUCGCCUUGCUGUGCCAUGGGCGGCAUCCACCUGCCCCGAAGCCCUCCCGGCCCUGCCCUUUCCAAGCAAUCACGCAGGGCUCACCUUCCACCACCUGAUCAUAAACCCUCUCUUCACAGGUCAGGAUCAGGUCAAACAAGUCCUUGCAGUUCUGGAA